GUCCACUUGAAUCCGUGCCGAGAUUUCGGCAGACACCAGACAAUCAGGACUGAUGAGAAUCCCAAGAUAAGUGGGGUG
rnacentral:pre_miRNA from 1 species